ACUCAAAGGAAUAGACGGGGGCCUGCACAAGCGGUGGAGUAUGUGGCUCAAUUCGAUGCAACGCGAAGAACCUUACCUGGCCUUGACAUGCAUGUGGUAGAAGCCCGAAAGGGUAACGACCCCGCAAGGGGAGCAUGCACAGGUGCUGCAUGGCUGUCGUCAGCUCGUGUCGUGAGAUGUUGGGUUAAGUCCCGCAACGAGCGCAACCCUUGCGUCCUGUUGCUAUCUCUGCGAGAGCAGAGAGCACUCUGGACGGACUGCCUCGCUUCAACGGGGAGGAAGGUGGGGAUGACGUCAAGUCAGUAUGGCCCUUACGGCCAGGGCUGCACACGUACUACAAUGCCCGGCACAAAGGGAUGCCAAACCGGAAGGUGGAGCAAAUCCCGCAAAAACCGGGCCCAGUUCAGAUUGAGGUCUGCAACUCGACCUCAUGAAGUUGGAAUCGCUAGUAAUGGCGCAUCAGCUACGGCGCCGUGAAUACGUUCCCAGGCCUUGUACACACCGCCCGU
rnacentral:rRNA from 1 species